ACCUCAUAUUAACCUUCCCUCUCUGACUAGGAGCACAACACAACUCCCUCUACCACCUCAUUAACCUUCCCUCUCUGACUGGGAGCACAACACAACUCCCUCUACCACCUCAUAUUAACCUUCCCUCUCUGACUGGGAGCACAACACAACUCCCUCUACCACCUCAUAUUAACCUUCCCUCUCUGACUGGGAGCACAACUCCCUCUACCACCUCAUUAACCUUCCCUCUCUGACUGGGAGCACCAUGUUGUGUCGACACCCUUCUGUCAUCACGUAUUUGGGUUGAUUCAUGAGAUGAACCGAUUACUGCCCACAAUAAUUUCCACUACCACCUCUCCUGCCAUGUAGCAUCAAAUACCUUGUUUUAGUCGACUACCACCUCUCCUGCCAUGUAGCAUCAAAUACCUUCUUUAACCCAACUACCACCUCUCCUGCCAUGUAGUGUCAAAUACCUUCUUUAACCCUACUACCACCUCUCCUGCCAUGUAGCAUCAAAUACCUAUUUUCACUGGUUUUACUCCACAGUAUAUCCCAGUACUCUGACUGGACUCCGUUCCACUAACAGUACUGUUAACAGAUUACAACCUUUAAAAAUAAUUGGCUGCUUCUAUCCACUUCAGCUGAGCUGACAUGUUGAGACAUUUGCCUAAAGUACAAUACGGUUUCUAGCGACUUCAGACUUUUUCCCCGUCUCUAAU
rnacentral:lncRNA from 13 species